rnacentral:rRNA from 1 species
AUUGAACGCUGGCGGCAGGCCUAGCACAUGCAAGUCGAGCGGAUGAAGGGAGCUUGCUCCUGGAUUCAGCGGCGGACGGGUGAGUAAUGCCUAGGAAUCUGCCUGGUAGUGGGGGAUAACGUCCGGAAACGGGCGCUAAUACCGCAUACGUCCUGAGGGAGAAAGUGGGGGAUCUUCGGACCUCACGCUAUCAGAUGAGCCUAGGUCGGAUUAGCUAGUUGGUGGGGUAAAGGCCUACCAAGGCGACGAUCCGUAACUGGUCUGAGAGGAUGAUCAGUCACGCUGGAACUGAGACACGGUCCAGACUCCUACGGGAGGCAGCAGUGGGGAAUAUUGGACAAUGGGCGAAAGCCUGAUCCAGCCAUGCCGCGUGUGUGAAGAAGGUCUUCGGAUUGUAAAGCACUUUAAGUUGGGAGGAAGGGCAGUAAGUUAAUACCUUGCUGUUUUGACGUUACCAACAGAAUAAGCACCGGCUAACUUCGUG